rfam:Sporisorium reilianum SRZ2 chromosome 2 complete DNA sequence
GGCCGCUUGGCGUAGUGGUAUCGCGCUUGCUUUGGGCAAUAGGGCUUCGCGCCCAUUCGAAAUAUGCAAGAGGUCACGAGUUCGAUCCUCGUAGCGGCCC